AUUGAACGCUGGCGGCAGGCUUAACACAUGCAAGUCGAGCGGUAACAGAGAUAGCUUGCUAUCUGCUGACGAGCGGCGGACGGGUGAGUAAUGCUUGGGAAUAUGCCUUAUGGUGGGGGACAACAGUUGGAAACGACUGCUAAUACCGCAUAACGUCUACGGACCAAAGGAGGGGAUUCUUCGGAACCUUUCGCCAUUUGAUUAGCCCAAGUGAGAUUAGCUAGUAGGUGAGGUAAGAGCUCACCUAGGCGACGAUCUCUAGCUGGUUUGAGAGGAUGAUCAGCCACACUGGGACUGAGACACGGCCCAG
rnacentral:rRNA from 1 species